GACGAACGCUGGCGGCGUGCUUAACACAUGCAAGUCGAGCGGUAAGGCCCUUUCGGGGUACACGAGCGGCGAACGGGUGAGUAACACGUGGGUGACCUGCCCUCAGCUCUGGGAUAAGCCUGGGAAACCGGGUCUAAUACUGGAUAUGACUCCAUGACGCAUGUUGUGGGGUGGAAAGCCUUGUGCGGCUGAGGAUGGGCCCGUGGCCUAUCAGCUUGUU
rnacentral:rRNA from 1 species